CUUAAUCUGGUUGGGCUACCAGAGGGAAAAGACAUGUGGCAGUGCUGGCUGUAGUGCAAGAGCUGGAGAUCCUGUGAGCUGGAGACCUGUUGCCCUAUGGACUGCAGCAUCAAGAGCCUGAUUCCCUGACAGUAACUCAAGGGCUCUGUGGCUCUGGAAAGGAAUCAUAGAGCUGUUUCCCCUGCAGUGUGUUCUGAGCCUACCUGACCCGCAUGCAGGGAGCUCAGGGCUUUCUUAAUUGCAGUGUGACCAAACCCAGGUGGAGGGUUCCUUUUCCAGCUGUGCAUCGAGUUGUGAUCCUGUAAACUGCUCAUCCAAUGCACUUCAAUCAGCUCCCCUGUUACUCCAGUCUCGGAGCUUGCCAAGCACAGCUCUGCCAAUGUACCAGACUCCUGACCUGCAGCUCUUCCUGCUAUCCCAGUCCUCAAACCAGUGCCACCAGCAAUGAAUCUGGCAAGUAGAUUUUCCCAAGGCUGGGCAGGUAUAAUGUAUGGGCUAAAUCAUCAGCCAGCUUUACUAUGCCCACUAGGCACAAAGUGCCUGUUUUCUGUUGACUGGAGUGCCUGGAACCAUUGUGAUGUCAUCCCUGCUCACGUGCCAGUGACAGGCAGCGAUAGGCAACUUCCCAGACUUCUCUCACCUGACACUUCACUGGGUUUUUUGGUUUUGAGGUUUUUCCUGCUCCAAAAAUGCAGCCCAUCCAGCUCCAAUAGACACCAAGGGCUUUUUCAAUUGCUGGUUGAAAGGAAAAUAGUUUCUGCUUUUCUAAGUCUUGUCUCUUCUCCCCCCCCCCAGCAUCCAUGGGUUAGACUGCUGCCUUCCACAUGGCUGCACAGACACACAGUUGUGUUCAUGUCAAUCCCCUUGAUACUAGUCAUGAGCCCUCUCCUGUACCAAGGUUCCCUGCUUCUGAUCUUUCUGCUUAAAGAUGCAAUUUGCAAAAGGGCAGGUUGUCGUGUUUCCUUUUUUCUCUUGGUGCAAACCAAACCUUGGGGCCUACUUCUUAUUUUGGGGUCAUCUCACAUCGUAUUCACCUUGAUAGCUCUCAUCCUGGUAUCCAGGUAACAAAAAUAAUACAUGUAGUGAAACAUUUUGCAUCUGGGGAUCUGAGAGCUUUUACCAUAUUAAUUAAACCAAGUCCCACAACACUGAUACAGAUAUGUUAAUAGAGAGGGGGCCAAGUUCAGAGGUAAUGUAGGUUAGACCCCCAUUCACCUGGUUAGAUGGGAUUACAGUCACUUACUGCUGUGUCAAUCAGUCUAAAGGAGACUAAGAUGAUGUAGGUUGCAUGCCACCAAGGUGUAAGUUAAAAUAGUGUGCAGCUUAUGUUAGCAUGCACAUUCUGAACCCUCCUGUUGCUGGCUUUUCUUGCUAUACUCUUCUGACACCUCAAUGUCUGGAUUCACUUCCCUUACUUAACCUCUGUAGGUCAGUUUCCUAAGGGAUGCAUAAGAGCUGGUCUGACUCCCCAUGUCGUUUGCAGCUGAGCAGUGUGGCUGAGAUGCUGGUAUUGUCCAAUCUAUUGGUUCAGUAUUAAUGACUUUGAUUAUUUAGAAUUCCCAAUUAACACACAAAUUUUGGUAGGGUCUUGUCCCUAUAUCAGGCCCCAGUGUUACCCAAAUUACUGUCCAGAUGGGCAUCCUUAGCCUAUUGUUUGGAAUAUUAACGCAUUAGCAUAUAUGUCAAUUAAUUACCAUAACUACCUUCAGUUAAACAUCUGCUGAUGUUGUCCUCCAAAAAUACCCUAAACCUGAUUUAAAAAAAAACCUGCUUGUGGUUACCUGUCAGCACUUGAUGCUCAGUUUUAACAUUUGUGAUCAUUACAAAACAAUCUUAUGCCAUCUUACGACUUAAGGUCACUUUUAGUUUACUUGUGCCAACCCAGUUCAGCAACUCAGGCUGUUAGGCCUCAUUCUUAGGCUAACUGCGUCAGCUACUUACAGGUCUAGGACGGUAGGUCUCUUGCAUUUCUGCAUUAUCUUUAUUAAAUAAUCAACACAUGGGCUGCACUAGUGCAGGUGAGUGGAGAGUUCAGAUUCUGUAGCAUUUUACACCCAUUUUCAUGCACUUUGCACAGAGCAGGCACAAAUCACACUAUGGGGUAUAAGCUGCAUGGUGGUAAGUGAGUCACCAGACAGUCUAAAGUGGUGGGAUAUGGUCUAAGCCAAACAAAUUUAGACUCCCUCUAGGCUUAUUAGACUCCUGAGUGACCAUACUUGGAAGAUGAAAGAUUAAAAGUUAAUUGUGCUGUGAAAAGCAAGCCUGAAAUAAUGCCUGAUUAUUUUACAGAUUAUAGUUCAUGUGUGCUCAUUUUGCAAAUAAAACACCAUUUUCUCUUCUAAUAGCCAGUGCCCCUGGAAGAGGAGAGUUGGACUGGGCUUUUUGGGGCAUCAUCACUAGUAAUAAAGACCCUUUACUGAAAAUCAGUGCAUCAGUCUGCUGGUGCUGUGAGAGCCAGAAUAGACUCCAGCUCACCUUCCAGUGGAAGGAAGGUGAGGAAGAGGGGCAUAUGGAGCAUGUUGGCACUUAUAAUACUUUUGAGAAAUUGCAAAUGUCUGUCUACUACAGUCUGUAUUUGAUUGUAUCCCACCAGACUUUGUAUAUUUUGCUUUUAUUUUU